rnacentral:rRNA from 1 species
GCCCGAUGAUUGGACAACUCGAGGAAACUCGGCUAAUACCAAAUGUGCCCUCCGGCCUCAAGGCCGGCGGGGAAAGGAAGCUUCGGCCUCCGCAUCGGGAUGGGCCCGCGGCCCAUUAGCUUGUUGGUGAGGUAACGGCUCACCAAGGCGACGAUGGGUAGCUGGUCUGAGAGGACGAUCAGCCACACUGGGACUGAGACACGGCCCCG